CCCCGGGUAGUCUAGUUGGUUAUGGCGUUCGGCUGUAAUUGUCAAAAGAUUGUUACCGAAAAGUCACCGGUUCGAUUCCGGUCCUGGGGA
rnacentral:tRNA from 1 species